ensembl:lncRNA
GGGCUUGGCCUUAAUGUUAAUUUUCCUAAUGUAAAUAUUCACUAAAAGAUUAUUUGGGAUGACCAUCAAUUGUUUACAAAAACUUUUCCAGAGAGAAUGCAGUAUUUCAAGAAGAAUACAGUUCCUUAUUUUGCAGUUUCUGACUCAGUAGGUGCUUGUCAAAAAGAGUACAAAAAGUUAUUGAAACUUAGAAUGAAACGACCCCAUUCUUGUCUUUUUAAUGUCUGUUCACUUUAAUCUUCCUAGCUGUCUGGACUGUCUGUGUGCUUUAAAGAGAACGAAGGCAGGGUUAGGUGGAGGUUAGGGGUUGACAGCUGAUGAAAAUAGAAAGCAGUUUCUGAUAUACAUACAAAGAAGCAAAUUGAUCUAGUGAGGUCUGAGUGAGCGGAAACAGAUGUAAGAGAGGUAGUGCAGUUACUCAGAUAUUAAAACUUUGCCCCCACCCCUGCUGUUUCCCCAUGUUGUUUUCAGCAUUAGAACGGCACUAAUCCUCUGCGUUACUGCUGACAACAAACUCAUCACUUAUGACAACAGCACCCCAUUCCAGUAAAUUCAUUCCAGCGACGUAUGACCUCUGACUGCUGUGACUGAGUGACUUGGGGAGCCGGUGGCAACAUGAGCAUCAUCCUCUAAAAGGAUUAUAUUUAGAACUCAGAGCUGUUGCACGUACUGUACACUUCUCUGGGCACUGCAGCCUGAACAACACAUAAACAACCAGGAGCCUCUCACAGACUCUGCUUUCAAGAGCUGGCCCACAUCCCCAUCCUCUCUCUCUUUCUCUCUCUCUCUCUCUCUCUCUCUUAAUCUGCCAUCAAAUGCCUGGUUGGUCUGAUGAUGACUAAAAUGAAAAAGAAAGUCAUCUCCAUAUGCUUCACAUGCUAUGUACUGUAAACAGAAGCUCCUCAAAUUGGUCUGUUCUCCACAGCCUUUCUCCAGAUGGACACAGUAGGGAGGACAGGGAAAGGCUAGUGAUGAUGACACUGUGUUUCUGGGUUGAUACUGCAGUGGGACUCUUCCAAUUUCAGCAACAGAUUCAGAUAUUCCUGAUGGAUGAAACAUGAGUGUGGAUGAGUCUUAAUGGCAGGUACUCAUGACAGCACUGCAGUUAUACAAAAUAUUCCAUACAAUACUGAUCUAAACCUAAAACUGACAUACACUUGUGAAUCUGGAAUUAUGAAAAUUACACAAACCAAAAACAUGCACACUUUCCCUGAUCAGCAUCUUAUGAUAUCAAAAAGAAUGAUGCAAACUUGAUUUACAAUUUAAAUCUGCCCGUGUCACAGUAGGAAAGGGAUGGUGUCGUACUCAACCUUGUUCAAUUUAACAUAACAAAAGAAGUAAGAGCCAUUCUCAAGACAGAACAUGAAACCAUCUAACGGCAACGUGUGACACAUCACAAUUAUUAGCUUUCCUCUAAUAUUAUGUAGCAGCACAUAAUAUGAAGACAUAUACACAAGCACAUCUUUCUCUCUCUCUCUCUCUCUCUCUCUCUCUCUCUCUCCUGCCUCUGCCCAUAUACCAAAUGUACUAUAGUGAAAUUUGCAAAAGCAAGAAACUGGCUUUGAAUUGUGCAGUCCUCUGAAGUAAAUAAAUUGCAUUCUGUAAGGUUGUUGUUGAAAUUUAGACUACUAUUCAAAAGUUUUGGGGUUUUUCAAGAAAUCAAAACUUUUAUUCAUGAAGGAUCCAUAGAUCUAAUGUGACAGUAAAGACUUGUAAUUUCACAGAAGAUUAUUUAAAAUAAAUAAUGUUCUUUGAAAGCACAACUGUUUUGAUAAGAAGAAAUGUUUCUUUAGCACCCAAUUAGCAUAUUAGAAUGGUUUCUGAAGAAACAUGGAACACUGAAGUCUGGAGCAAUGGCCGUUGGAAAUUCAGCUUUGCCAUCACAGAAAUAUUUUAUUUUUUAAACUAAAAUAGAAAACAGUUAUUUACAUUAUGCAUUUUAUGAUAAUUAUUUCACAUUUUUACUGUACAUUUUAAUCAAAUAAAUGCAGCAUUGGUAAGCAUAAGAUAAUACUUUCAAAUACAAAAAAAAAAAAAAAGUCUUACCAACCCCAAGUAAAUAAUGAGGUACGUUUAUGUCAGGGAAAAUGUUGUAAGUUUACGUCAAGAAACAUUGUGUAAGUAAAACUUCUGCACUUAAGUCUUCAAAGAUGGAGCCGUAGGUGUUUCUCCAUUGCAAAUGAAAUUACAUUUUGAUCUAUUGACAUAAACUGUUAUAUUGUGAGCAGAUUUGUGAAUAGGUCAAAAAGACUUUCAGAGUCUUUUCUACAUUUUCUUAUUAUAACUAGGAGGGCCAAGGACUGGAUGGAAGGACUUAUUUAAGUGUAGCAGCACAAUUAUCAAGGCAAGAGUGUUGGAAAGCAAGAGUAUAAUUUUUUAGAAUUAAAUUAGACUCAGAAUGUAACUGUAGAAAUCUUGUUUUUUUUUUAAAACUUCAUUGUACGUUACCAAUAAACUGUUUUUUAUGUCCGUUCUGUGUAGUUAUACACAGAUCUAUUUGAACUUGGAAGACCCUACCAUUUCUGAACUAAGUUACAGGUCACUCAAUGAAAGCAGACAGAUUUGGGAAAAAAAGAAGAAGAAAAAAAAUGAAUAUUAUAGCCUCUUUGGU